rnacentral:lncRNA from 1 species
UUGUCCUCUGAAGGGGCGGCGCAUGGGCGUCCCCCGCCCUGCUAGCCCCAUCUCCUUCCCUGUCCCUGCUUGGGCAGGAGGCCCAAGCCCUGACAACAGAGGUGAGAGAGGCUGUGCCAGCCCUUCUCUGGGCAUGUCUGGGCUCAAGGGCCAGGCUCUGUCUCCAGUCUAGGGCCAAGCUGGGGCCUGUGGCAGGAUCAGAUAGAGGCAAAACAUUGAUGAGGCAGGGGGACGGACAAAAUGGGCCUUCCAGAGGUGCUCUCAGACCCUCCCAGCCACACUACAGCCGCAGAGCCCUCCGCUCACAAACCAUCCUGGCCUCAUCAGAACCUGGGGAGGGUUCCUAGUUGUGCAGGGGGUUCCCUGUACGUACCCCUUUCCCUCCAGCACUGGAGCCCGAGUCUCCCGCUGAGCAGGCACCUCUCCCUCCACGCCCAGGCUUCUUAAACCAACCCCUCCUCCCCUUGUCAUUCAUGAACCAGAUGCAGAAACUGAGGCUCAGAAGCGUUCGGCCACGUGCAUGCAUUGCCUUUCCCAUUGGUGCUCCAUCGCCAGUAAUGGAUAAGUAAUAAGUAAUAAGGUGCAUUGGAAAUUCAAAUUUCAGAAUAAGCUGACUGCCAAGAGGGCCCUCCCCCUGUCGGGAGUCCCUUAGUCCAUGGGAAAUUCACAGAGAAGGAAACAGUCACUUUUCCUGCACCUGAGAAGGUGAUUCUGACUCUCCUGGAACCUGAGAACCACCAGUCUACGGGAACAGAGCCCUGCUUUGGGUCAGGAAGCGAGGAGCGCCUCUUCCCCGCCGCCAUCCCAUCUAGGAAGUGAGGAGCGUCUCUGCCCGGCCGCCCAUCGUCUGAGAUGUGGGGAGCGCCUCUGCCCCGCCGCCCUGUCUGGGAUGUGAGGAGCGCCUCUGCUGGGCCGCAACCCUGUCUGGGAGGUGAGGAGCGUCUCUGCCCGGCCGCUCCGUCUGAGAAGUGAGGAAACCCUCUGCCUGGCAACCGCCCCGUCUGAGAAGUGAGGAGCCCCUCCGUCCGGCAACCACCCUGUCUGGGAAGUGAGGAGCGUCUCCGCCCGGCAGCCACCCCGUCCGGGAGGGAGGUGGGGGGGGUCAGCCCCCCGCCCGGCCAGCCGCCCCGUCCGGGAGGGGGGGGGGGUCAGCCCCCCGCCCGGCCAGCCGCCCCGUCCGGGAGGGAGGUGGGGGGAUCAGCCCCCCGCCUGGCCAGCCGCCCUGUCCGGGAGGUGAGGGGCGCCUCUGCCCGGCCGCCCCUACUGGGAAGUGAGGAGCCCCUCUGCCCGGCCAGCCGCCCCGUCCGGGAGGGAGGCGGGGGGGGGUCGGCCAGCCGCCCCGUCCGGGAGGGAGGUGGGGGGGUCAGCCCCCCUUCCGGCCGGCCGCCCCGUCCGGGAGGUGAGGGGCGCCUCUGCCCGGCCGCCCCUACUGGGAAGUGAGGACCCCUCUGCCCGGCCAGCCGCCCCGUCCGGGAGGGAGGUGGGGGGGACAGCCCCCCGCCCGGCCGGCCGCCCUAUCCAGGAGGUGAGGGGCGCCUCUGCCCGGCCGCCCCUACUGGGAAGUGAGGAGCCCCUCUGCCUGGCCAGCCGCCCCGUCCGGGAGGGAGGUGGGGGGGACAGCCCCCCGCCCGGCCAGCCGCCCCAUCCGGGAGGUGAGGGGCGCUUCUGCCCGGCCGCCCCUAC